rnacentral:rRNA from 1 species
AAGUCGUAACAAGGUUUCCGUAGGUGAACCUGCGGAAGGAUCAUCAUUGAAUAAACUUGAACAGGCUGUUGCUGACUCCCUCAGGGGGGGGUACGUGCACGCUUGUCAUCUUUAUUUCUCCACUUGUGCACAUAUUGUAGGCCUGGAAUUAAAUUUGAUCAUUGUUCGAGUUGGUGCUGCUGUGCUUUCUUAAACAGAAGUCAGCUUUGCCUUGCAUUUCUAGGCCUAUGUCAUUUUCACAAUCUCUGAAUGUGUUUAGAAUGUUGAAGGGUCCUUUUGUACCCAUAAAUUUAUAUAAACAACUUUCAGCAACGGAUCUCUUGGCUCUCGCAUCGAUGAAGAACGCAGCGAAAUGCGAUAAGUAAUGUGAAUUGCAGAAUUCAGUGAAUCAUCGAAUCUUUGAACGCAUCUUGCGCUCCUUGGUAUUCCGAGGAGCAUGCCUGUUUGAGUGUCAUUAAGUUCUCAACCACAGCAAUUCUUUUGGUGUGGCUUGGAUGUGGGGGUUUUAUUUGCAGGCUUUUGGAAUAUUAAGUCUGCUCCCCUGAAAUAUAUUAGUGGUAUCUGAGCAGAGAAAAGCUACUACAGGUGUUGAUAAUUGUCUAUGCCUUGUAAGCACAACUGCGUGAACAGACUGCACUGCUUCUAAUAAAAUGAGAGAAAUCUCUUUGAAAAUUUGACCUCAAAUCAGGUAGGACUACCCGCUGAACUUAAGCAUAUCAAUAAGCGGAGGAAAAGAAACUAACAAGGAUUCCCCUAGUAACUGCGAGUGAAGCGGGAAAAGCUCAAAUUUAAAAUCUGGCGGUCUUUUGGCUGUCCGAGUUGUAAUCUAGAGAAGUGUUAUCCGCGCUGGACCGUGUACAAGUCUCCUGGAAUGGAGCAUCAUAGAGGGUGAGAAUCCCGUCUUUGACAUGGACUGCCAGGGCUUUGUGAUGCGCUCUCAAAGAGUCGAGUUGUUUGGGAAUGCAGCUCAAAAUGGGUGGUAAAUUCCAUCUAAAGCUAAAUAUUGGCGAGAGACCGAUAGCGAACAAGUACCGUGAGGGAAAGAUGAAAAGAACUUUGGAAAGAGAGUUAAACAGUACGUGAAAUUGCUGAAAGGGAAACGCUUGAAGUCAGUUAUGUCGUCCAGGGAUCAACCUUGCUUUUGCUUGGUGCACUUUCUGGUUUGACAGGUCAGCAUCAGUUUUGACUAUUGGAAAAAGGCUUAGGGAAUGUGACAUCUUUGGAUGUGUUAUAGCCCUUGGUCAUAUACAAUGGUUGGGAUUGAGGAACUCAGCACGCCGCAAGGCCGGGUUUUUAACCACGUACGUGCUUAGGAUGCUGGCAAUAUGGCUUUAAUCGAC